UGACUCUGGUUUCUCUUCAUUACGCCACAAGGGCCUUUCGCCUGUUACUAAAACUUCCGUGGAGAGGAACACUUACGAGUUCCACGUCAUUUUUGGAAGCGGCCUUUGCUUCUU
ensembl:snRNA U5 U5 spliceosomal RNA